ACAAACCCGAUGAUCUCUUUCUGAAUGAGGAGGGAAAUACUGGACCUGAGUUAUCAGAAGCCAGAAUAUCCUUCUUUCCAGCCAUUCUUAUUUUAUGUAUUUCGAAGAAUAAAUAAAAUUGCAGUUACAUAUUCAUAGACUAUAUCAGACAGGACUAAUUCAACUUUGCCUGGGAUCUCUAUUAUGUCAAAGAUCCUCAACAGCCAUGUGGCAGGAGGACCACUCAGAAGCUCAUGGACAAGCUAGUCUGUAGCAAAGAUGCAGAAAGAAGAUAGACUGUCUCAAAUUGGAAGUCAAGAACUAAUUCCUGAAACUGUCAUCAGACCUUCACACUUUCUGUGGAACACAUGCCUUCAUAUCCUUUCAAUGUAGCUGUGUGCAAACAUAUUUCCUCAUACUGAGUAUAAAUGCACUGUUUUUCUUUAUA